AGAGUUUGAUCCUGGCUCAGGACGAACGCUGGCGGCAGCCUAACACAUGCAAGUCGAGCGGGCAUCGCAAGAUGUCAGCGGCAGACGGGAGAGUAACACGUGGGAACGUACCCUUCGGUUCGGAAUAACCCAGGGAAACUUGGACUAAUACCGGAUACGUCCGAAAGGAGAAAGAUUUAUCGCCGAGGGAUCGGCCCGCG
rnacentral:rRNA from 1 species